UCCUAUAAGGGUUGGGAGUAUUACCAACCCUUAUAGGGAACAUGUAGCAAGUAUCA
rnacentral:sRNA from 12 species